rnacentral:rRNA from 1 species
GAGUUUGAUCCUGGCUCAGAUUGAACGCUGGCGGCAGGCCUAACACAUGCAAGUCGAGCGGAUGACGGGAGCUUGCUCCUUGAUUCAGCGGCGGACGGGUGAGUAAUGCCUAGGAAUCUGCCUGGUAGUGGGGGACAACGUUUCGAAGGGAACGCUAAUACCGCAUACGUCCUACGGGAGAAAGCAGGGGACCUUCGGGCCUUGCGCUAUCAGAUGAGCCUAGGUCGGAUUAGCUAGUUGGUGGGGUAAUGGCUCACCAAGGCGACGAUCCGUAACUGGUCUGAGAGGAUGAUCAGUCACACUGGAACUGAGACACGGUCCAGACUCCUACGGGAGGCAGCAGUGGGGAAUAUUGGACAAUGGGCGAAAGCCUGAUCCAGCCAUGCCGCGUGUGUGAAGAAGGUCUUCGGAUUGUAAAGCACUUUAAGUUGGGAGGAAGGGCAGUAAGUUAAUACCUUGCUGUUUUGACGUUACCGACAGAAUAAGCACCGGCUAACUCUGUGCCAGCCGCCGACCG